rnacentral:lncRNA from 1 species
UUAUGGAUCGAUCUAACAUCUACAGCUUGUUUUUACAUGAGGUUUGAAUUUGAUAUUGAUCUAUUUGAUUUGUUUUUGUGAUAUUUCGAUUGAAUUCAGCUGGAUCUAACUUUGUUAAUUGCGCAGCUUGUAAUUCCUGUAUAGAUCUUAAUGCUGUAUAUCUCUAUUUGUUCGUUGGAUCUAAGAUUUUGAAAUUUCGAUGCUGUUAGUGAAGUAGAGAAGCUUAAUUUUAAUGAAAACUGUUUAAUUUUGUAUGAUUUAGAUAAUUUUUAAUUAUGCUAGAAGCUUUCUAGUUUUCAUUCUGCUUUAGGAGGACAUAGUAGCUUAAAGAUUCGAUUUUUGACGAAUGCAAUCAAACACUUGUUUAAAUAUUUGUUACAUGUAGUAGAUCAACUUGAAUAGUGCAGACAAUCAGUUAAGAAAAAAUGAAGAGUGCAGACAUAGUAGCUUAAAGAUUUGAUUUUUGACGGAGGCAAUCAAAAACUUGUUUAAAUAUUUGUUACAUGUAGUAGAUCAACUUUAGAGAAGUUUAGUGCUGUUGUUUUUGCCAUAGAAAUUGAAUAGUGCAGACAAUUCGUUAAGAAGGAAGAGUGCAGACAUAGUAGCUCAAAAGAUUCGAUUUUUGACGAAGGCAAUCAAAAGUUGUUUAAAUAUUUGUUACACUCUGGUAUAUCAACUUUAGAGAAGUUUAUUGCUGUUGUUUUUGCCAUAGAAAUUGAAUAAUGCAGACAAUUCGUUAAGAAGGAAGAGUUUUCCGUCUUUGAAUCUUUCAUUUGAUGUUAGGGUUAAUUUUUCAAUGUUUGUUGCAUUUCAGUGUUAUAUUAGGACUGAGGUUGUAUAUGACAAUCAUUUUUCAAUUUUUAGUUACCAGAGAAUUUUCUGAGGAAAACAUUUUUCACCGAAAGAAGAAAAAUGACUUCUUUGUAGGAUAAAGUUCAUUCCUUUAUAAUCAUUUGUUUCAUGGGAUAGGCAAACAAUGUUUUCAAUCUUAAGUGUUAAGUAAUUAUCUUUUGAGAGAAAUGUUCGAUGAAAACUAUCUUGUCACCUUUACCUUCCUCUGUCAAUUAUAAAAUUAUUUACUUAUCCAAGAAAAAAAAUACUACCCGAGUAACACUCAUGUUUCAGAAAAUGCUUUUUCAAGGUAAAUUCUUUUGACGGAAAACAUUUAUUUGCAUAUCUAGUGCAGCUUGAGUCCCUGACAUCUAGAUGCUCUUAUCUUGGUUUUAGGAGGAACAAGGUUAUGUUCCUACAAAGCUGGAAAAAGAUUGCGACGGAGAAGGUAGCUGUGUACUUUUUCUUUUGAAGAUAAUGUACUGGCCAAGUCAUCUUAUGCACCUAUAAAGUGAUAGGAGUCGUAUUUAAUCUACAACUUCUAUGGUUUUCUGUAAGUGCAUGUUUUGCCUAGGUAUUUGUUGAUAUCAAAUAUUAGUAUAAAGAGUUUAUUAACCUAGUUAUGUGGAAAUUAGCGCAGGCUAAACUUCAUUCUAAACAAAGGAAAACCAUGCAGCGUGCUUGUUGCAUGUUUUCUUUUUUACGUUGUUUCUAUUUGAUCAACUUAUUUUUUUUUGAGAAUUUUCUAUUCUAUCAACUUAGCACACUUAUAUUUAGGUUUUAGAUUAACUUGGAAGCUAAUGGUGCGUAUUUCAGUAUUAUGAUCUUGUCUCUGUAACUUUUUCUGUAUGUGGUAGCUAAUGGUGCUGGGUGUUAACCAAACUUUCCCUUAAUGUCUUCACAGUAAAAAAUGUUUCACUCCCCGUCACCACCUUUCUUAACAUCAUUUAUGUUUUCACUUUUAUCUAAAUUGAAUAUGAAACUGAGGAUCUUCUAGGUGUUGUAAAGGAAUUUAGGCUGUGCUCUGUAACAUUUGCUGUUUUCCUUGGACUGACUUUACGACCUGAAGCAAGCAUGGAGUGUGUGUGGUUGAAGGUAACAUUCCAAGGAUACAAGGUUACUGUACUAACUUAGUUACCAUGUGAAACUGAUGCUACAAGUUGGACUCGGAUAAUGUAGAUUGUGACCCCUCCCGUUUCUCGUAGUUCCAUUUUGUUCACAUUUGUUAAGUAUCCUUUUAUCGACAGAUAUUUUGGUCGCCUAAUGCUGUGAACGAUGAGGUUUUUGCUGUACAUCUGAUGCCCGGAAAAUGGAAGGCGGGAAAGUAUUUGUUCUUUUUUUUUUGAGGUCCAAAUGACAUUGCUUCUAAUUUAUAAACUACUGAUCUAGUUCAGCAAUAUCUUUGUACUCUUCUUUUACUUUUUAUUUCUUUGUGAUGGCUGCAAUCUGAAGUGAUCAUAGCCUAAAUGACAGGGGAUACCAAUUGUGUUCAAA